GAGGUCUUAGCUUAAUUAAAGCAGUUGAUUUGCAUUCAGUAGAUGUAGGGUAUAGACCUACAGUCCUUG
rnacentral:tRNA from 1 species